GAUGAAGAACGUAGCGAAAUGCGAUACGUAAUGUGAAUUGCAGAAUUCAGUGAAUCAUCGAGUCUUUGAACGCACAUUGCGCCCCCUGGUAUUCCGGGGGGCAUGCCUGUCCGAGCGUCAUUUCACCACUCAAGCCUCGCUUGGUAUUGGGCAACGCGGUCCGCCGCGUGCCUCAAAUCGACCGGCUGGGUCUUCUGUCCCCUAAGCGUUGUGGAAACUAUUCGCUAAAGGGUGUUCGGGAGGCUACGCCGUAAAACAACCCCAUUUCUAAGGUUGACCUCGGAUCAGGUAGGGAUACCCGCUGAACUUAAGCAUAUCAAUAAGCGGAGGA
rnacentral:misc_RNA from 1 species